AGAUGGCAGAAGUAGAAUAUGUGAUAGCUUUAGAAGUUAUAGAUAAGAAAUUUUUUUUCUU
rnacentral:tRNA from 1 species